CCCUGUCACUGAGAUCUUUUUGCCAAAAUAAUGGGAAUCUGGGCAUUUUUAUAUAUGACCCUAAGCACCUGCUUUGAAAAUACGUUGUAUCCUCAUUUACUCACCUGUUUCCUUUUUAUUUAUUUUUUACAGAUUAUCUGUGAGAAACAGUAAUUGAUCAUUUUGUCUCUCCUCUUCUUCCUCAGCUCAAACCCAGCAGAAGCCUGAUAUAAUUCCACCCAAUUUCUCCACUGUCCAAGUCACUGACAUCUUCCGAAGGCUGGGUCCCUUGUCAGUGUUCUGUGCCCGGGCGCGCUGGGGGCCGGUGCGUUUGGUGUGUCUCCAGCGAGGGGAGGGGGGUCUGGGGCUAACUCUCAGAGGAGACUCUCCUGUUCUGGUGGCUGGAGUCGUGCCGGGGGGAUGUGCUGAGGAGGCAGGUCUGAGAGAGGGGGACUACAUAGUGGAGGUGGAUGGAGAGAACUGUAAGUGGGCUAAACAUGGAGAGGUGGUCCACAGCCUGAAGAGCUGCAGUGACCGAGGAGUGGAGCUCAGCGUCAUCACACUGCACACACACGACACACAGGUGGAGAGGAGGUCAGUGAUGCUCUCCCCCAGAGGAGACAAAGAGAACGCUUGCCAACGGCCCAUGGGCGGGGCUAAGGCCCAGAGCUCCGUCUCCUUACUCAACUGGAACAGGAAGAAAAACAGGGAAGGGGGAGGAGUCACCAAGAGACUGGGCAGCACCUUCAGUCUGCCAUUUGGAAACCUGGGAGACGGUGAAUCCAUGUACUGAGAUAGACGGAGGGCAAGCUGAAAUGGUGCUUGAUUCCAUACAGUGCACUUCCAGCCAAAAGUAGUGCACUAAGGGAGUAGGGUGCCAUUUCAGACUGUGCUAUAGACAGACGAACCACUCAGGGAAUGGCAAAGGGACAUGUUCCAAUACAAGGAUGAGUUGUAUAUGACUGGAUAGUCCUAGAUAUUGUAAUGCAUUAUUGCAGCAAUUGCAAGGAACAUUCCGAAUAGGAGUAUUGUACUAAGAGAAGAGGGGGAUGCUAUGUCCAGAUGCCCAGGGAAACUACAGUGGUUUUAGAAAGCACCCAACUGCAGGUAUAUGUCACUGAAGGGGUUAAGAGCAUCAUGUAAAAUUGUCUUAAAAUAGACUAAUAGUUGUGGCACAGUAUUAUUGUAGCUGACUUACAAUACAGCUAAAGGUCUUUAGAGAGUUGAAAGAAAAUAAACUGGACUUACUGUCAAACUACAGCCUCUGGUCUUACGACAAUGUCAUCAUGUUGUUUUAAUGUUGAAAACGUGUCGUUUUAAUGUUGAAAACGUGUCGUUUUAAUGUUGAAAACGUGUCGUUUUACUUUACUGUUUACUGUAUCCCAGAGUCUUGCUUUUCCACUCCGGUCUUAAUGAGGUUACACUCAACAGUAAAAACAACAGCCACACCUACAUCCAUUCAGUACCUGAGCUCUUACUUCCUCAAGCUGUGAAUCUUCUUUUUUGUUGUUGUAAGAUUUAAUUGUAUUUGAUGUUUAACAAAUGACAUCACACAAACAUCAACUACAUCACACCUGCCCAGACUUAUUAGCACACACACCCCAUCUCCAGUGCCCGCAUAAUUUUCCACCACAUGACCUCAAACUGCAUCAUUAUUAUUAUCUCUCCGUAGCCCACUCACUCUAAAUGUUUUACAAUAAAUCAUUUGAUUUUUCCAUUGUGUUAACGAUGCCGAAUUAAUUGAUUUCCACAUUUUUAAUAUACGUUUUUUGCAAAAUGAUUGAUGAGAAAAGAAUCGUCCAGCCCAUUGGGUAUCUCACAACACCCCUAUAUUCCAUGUCUUGAAAUAUGUCUUGAAAUAUGCAUACUUCUAGAUUAAGAGUAACAUUGUAAUACUUCUGACAGCCAACUUUAUUAGCUCCGCCCGCAAAAAAAACGGGAUUAUUGAGUCAUUGCAUGCGUUUGUAAAUUCACUCGACUCCGAUUUCAGAGCUCUCUGGACUGAGUGCGCCAGAGUGCAGAAUAACUGAUGAAUUUUACCAACAUUUUAAUAUGAACGGUGUCAGUAAACAUGAGCAAAAAAAAGUAAUUAAAUUGUUGCCAGCAGCACAGUUACGGUCACCAACGCUCUAGACAACAUGAACCAGCUUUGCCAGGGUGAAUAAAAUGUUCAGAAUGAGGUGUUCUCUCAUUAUGUCUGGAAGUACAGUGGCUAGCAAGCUAGCCAACUUUAGCCACUUAGCUUGAGUGCUUGACUGUCGUUGUGAGAGGUCAGAACAUUCGGAUGAACUUUACUCCUCAGCCAGAGCGUCCAGUGUGCGCUCUGAACGCUCAGAGAGCGAAACACUGAAUUUGCCAUUAACAAUGGACAAUCUGAUAUCCGUUCUGAAUAUUAGGAACACCCAGAGCGCACUCUGAGCUCACACUCUGGCACUCCAGAGUGAAAUCAUGAACACACCCAUUAUAGUUUCACACUUGGGAUAUGACUGCUGUUGUGCUGUAGAACUGGUGAAUUCUGUGUCUUGUACUGUAUCAUCAAUUCCAUGGAUAAGUUUAUACUGGGUAUAGAUUUUCGUUAACUGUAAUUUCAUGAGUUAUGCGCCAACUUUCCCUCCAUCUUGUGCCAACAUCAGUUCUUUUUAGGUCUUGGUUCCAAUAGUUUAUCUUUUUUUUCCUAAGAGAUUGUCAGUUUGAUUUGCUCCUGGCAAGGUUUUGUAUAUCGUCCCUAUCAUAUGAACAUCCUUAUCUGACUCGAAUCAAAUUCCUUCAAGGUUGCUCUGAUGUCCAAAAGAUGUGUAACUUUAAAAUUGCAUGUAUUUGAAACUACAUUGGUCAGUCCAAAAUUACUUCAAUACUUUCACGGAAAUAAAUGUUUUCCUUGUUGCCAAGUCAUUUACAGUUUCUAUGAAUUUAGUGUUCCAAUUUAUCUGUAAAUUCUGAAAAGCUAUCCAAGGAUUGUUCCAUAGAGUUGUUUUUAUGGAGUGAUAUUGGUUCUAGAAUGUUUCAGUGUAUUCCAUGUUGUUGUAGUGUUCUGAACUAUGAAGUUGUUAAUGCUCUUAGCUUAAUGCUUUGGAAAUAGACACGUAAAAAGCCGUGGGCAUCUUCUUGAAGCACACACAGAGUUUACAGCGGUAGCCAUGUUACUGCAUUCUGUGCUCCUACCAGUGUUUUUGAUGUGGACAUUUUCUUUGUUUCUCAUGUGUUGGGUACAAAUGACUACCCACAAUGCACUACAAUAGUUACGUCACAGGAGGUUGGUGGUACCUUAACUGGGAAGGACGGGCUCGUGGUAAUGUCUGGAGCGGAAUUAGUGGAAUGGUAUCAAAACAUAUAGUUUCCAGACAUUAAUAUGAGCCGUCCUCCCCUCAGCAGCCUCCUGUGUUAUGUGUAUUUUUUUUCUUUUUUUUCCUGGUGUUUUGUAGUUUUACAUUUUGUACGACAUUCUUAUGCACCGGGACUUCAUAGGAGGAGGAAAAACUAACGCUCUACGUAUGUCGUGACACUGAAAUGGUUAACGUGGUAAUAUGCACAUUAGGGGAUUGACUAAAGACUUUUAUAUGUCUGGUACUUAGUAGAGUUGAAUAGGAGAAUGGACAGUCUACCAUGUAGAAACCAGCUAUCAAUGUGACCAUAGAGGAGAGCUGCUGACACAAUUGUUAGAUACUUUUAUUUUUAUUUUUUUAUGUUCACAUUUUCAAUAUUUGGAUGCAAACACUAUUUUAAAUUGUAAUCCAUUUGUUCUUUUUUUUUCUUCAAAAUAAUGAUUGAGAUAUGAUGUAUUUCAGAUUGUGAAUUAAGUCUGCCAUUGUGAUCUGUGGUGUCUUGUUUUGAGUGAGUGUAAUUGUGUAAAGGGAUUUGUAUUUCGUUUGUUUAUUAUGUGAAAGACUGAUAAUCAUGGCUGGCUGCUCAUAUGAUCAACCAUCAAUUCCUCUAUUCGAGGUGUGCUUGUGCACGUGGAUCCUUUUCGUCGUGUGUGUUAUUUCUAGAGUAUUUGCACAGAAUUUUGUUGAUGAAUUAAAGGAGUGGAUCAAUGCA